UAUCUCUGUAGAGUCUGCAUAUCAAUAAGCGGAGGAAAAGAAACUAACUAGGAUUCCCUAGUAACGGCGAGUGAAGCGGGAAGAGCUCAAAUUUGAAAUCUUCAAGGUUUUACCUUGACGAAUUGUAGUUUAAAGAAGUGUUUUCUGUUGAGGUUUUGGUAAAAGUUCUUUGGAAUAGGACAUCAUAGAGGGUGAGAAUCCCGUAUUUGACCAUUACUUUCAGCGUUGUGAUACACUUUCAAAGAGUCGGAUUGUUUGGGAAUGCAGUCCAAAAUGGGUGGUAAAUUUCAUCUGAAGCUAAAUAUUGGCGAGAGACCGAUAGCGAACAAGUACCGUGAGGGAAAGAUGAAAAGAACUUUGAAAAGAGAGUUAAACAGUGACGUGAAAUUGUCAAAAGGGAAGCGUUUGACACCAGUGUUGUUUUUCUGAAAAUCAAUUAAAGAACUGUUUAUGCUAAGCUGUUUAGACUUUAUCAGCUAUCUGUUUAGUUUUGAGCUUUUCUUUAAUGCACUUUUCAGUUAACAAGUCAACAUCAAUUUCUUUUGCUGUAAAAAAGCUUGAGGAAGGUGGCUUGAGAUUCGUCUUAAGUGUUUAUAGCCUCUUGCCUAUGCAGUCGGAGAGAUUGAGGUCUGCAGCGUAGAUCCUUCGGGGCUAAAUGCAUUUGUGCUAAGUUAUAGCAUUUUAUAGACAACUUGUUGACUAUGAUUUGUCUUGUAGCUUACUCGCUUAUGUUAUUUUACCUACGCUUAGGAUGUUGACGAUCAGCUGAGCGCG
rnacentral:rRNA from 1 species